GUGAGUUUCCGGCCAAAUAUCGAACAUCGAGUGAAUGAAUUGACUGUCGGCGUUCAUCAUUUUUUUCGCGUCGCCAUUUUUUUUUACACGUUUCUGUUUAUUUUGUUAGUUUUGUUAGUUGUAUAUUAUUUAUAACAGUGUACUUAACGUUAAGGUGUUGCUUACAUUUGUUGCAUCUGGGUUUUGGCUUGCAUCUUAGGAUAUAGCACCAUGGCUCUUAGUGACGAGCUAGCUCAAUUAAAGCUCCGUAGGGGCUAUGUAAAGGGUGCAAUAACUCGUGAAGAAAGUUUUUGUAACAGCGAAGAAAUUGUGAUCGCGUCUAGUGAGUUGCUCACAGAGCGGCGCAGUCGCUUGGCGAAAAACUUUGCCUCUUACGAGGACCUAAACAAGAGUAUUUUGUGCAUAAAUCCAAAGGACGAUGAAGACCCUUUUGUGUAUGAAAGAAUUCAUAGAUUUUUUGGAGUCCAGAGCGUUGGCCAGGGAGAAUGCAAUGGAAACAAUGCCUGUGAGUACUCCCAGUGGUGUGAAGCCUGGCAAGCCUGCAUGUAAUACAGCAGCAGCAGUCUCAUGUGCUUCAGAGGGAAUCACUACCUUUAACGCCGCAAGGUCCCUACCUGGUUAGUACCAGCCUAGGUUAUAUUGUAGCAGGCAGCCUACCAGUAUCUGUUGGAAACAUCCAUUCUUCAAAGGACAUUGUUCAAUUUUGGCCUAAGAACCGAUGUGAAUAUAAAUUAUACUAUAAUUUUCAUUUAAUUUUUUAUUGUUUGAAACAUAUUUUCGUUUUCCACGGACACUUCAAAUAAAUAAAUUCCAAAUAAAAAGUUGGGUCACAAUUAUUGAUGCCUUAUAAAAUGUUUCCGUCAGCCAGUGCUGCCAGUUUCGGAAGUUUUCGCGAUUUCGGUAAAUACGGAAAGAAUUGAGAACCUCCUUUCCGAAGUCGGUUAUUAGAAUUAGUUGCUAACACUUUAUUCAUUUAAAUACCUAAAUUGACUAGCUAGAAAAAAACUAGUAUUCUGUAUGUUUUAAGCGAAAUCGCGAAUUUCUAGCUUGGCAUUCGAGUAGGAUUAUAGUUUUCGUAAUUGGCAACACUGGUGUACUUCAGUCAGUUUGCUAGAAGUCAGUUUGAUUGCUUUGAGACUAUCGUUUCUUUUGUGAUUUUCUAUACGUUUCAUGGUUUUAUUCUAACAACUUUGGCUUGAUUACGGACUCCGAUUAGAUUGCGUACUUGGUAGACUCGGCUGUGUGUAAAGGACUGGAUUUUCCUGGCAUUUUCGGAUAUUGCUCUGUCUGUGAUCGAAUUUAGUUGUAUUAUAAUUACAACAAUGGAUGCAGAAUAUAGUACCUAUAUUGUAUAAAUUGUGGAUCUGCUGGAGGUUCUUUGGUAUUAGAAAACGAAGAUAUACUUCGUUGCAUACAACAAUGGACUGUUCCCCGUAUGGUUGAAGCUCAUGACCUUAUAUGUACGACGUGUUGGUCUGAAGCAGUCGAGCAUAAUAAGAUGCAAUGCACUGUUGGACGCAAUUGUGUACUUUGUAAGAAGCUCCUACCAUCAGGCAUUACUGUUGCAAUUGUAUCGUUGGGCGUAGAACAGUGGGCUGUUGUGCCCACAUAAUGACUAUAAUUUGGUAUUUAAGCUGGGCGAGAUACCCCCUGCCCAGUUCUUAGAUAAUAUAUUAUUGAGAAAUAUUGAUGAUUAAAAACCUUUAAUUGAAUAUAAA